rnacentral:rRNA from 1 species
GUAGUUAUAUGCUUGUCUUGAAGAUUAAGCCAUGCAUGUCUAAGUAUAAACCAUUAUACUGGUGCAACUGCAGAAGGCUCAUUAAAACAGUUAUAGUUUAUUUGAUGGUCCCCUACUACAUGGAUAACCGUAGUAAUUCUAGAGCUAAUACAUGCGUAAAAUCCUGACCUCACGGAAAGGAUGUAUUUAUUAGAUUCAAAACCAAUGCGGUGGCCUUCCAGUUGCCGCUUUUGGUGAUUCAUAAUAACUCUCGAAUCGCACUGACUACACGUCGGCGAUAGAUCAUUCAAAUUUCUGCCCUAUCAGCUACAAUCGUAGUGUAUUGGACUACGAUGGCUUUAACGGGUGACGGAGAAUUAGGGUUCGAUUCCGGAGAGGGAGCCUGAGAAACGGCUACCAUAUCUAAGGAAGGCAGCAGGCGCGCAAAUUACCCAAUCCUGAUACAGGGAGGUAGUGAAGAUAAAUAACAAUACCGGUCCUUUCUAGGUCUGGUAAUUGGAAUGAGCACAAUUUAAACACCUUAGCGAGGAUCCAUUGGAGGGCAAGUCUGGUGCCAGCAGCCGCGGUAACACCAGCUCCAAUAGCGUAUAUUAAAGUUGUUGCAGUUUAAAAGCUCGUAGUUGGAUAUCUGGCGAGGACGCCUGGCCCGCCUCCCCUAUGGGGUGUGUGUGUGCCGGUUUGCGACCUUGCCAUCCUUCUGGAAUGCCGAUUCAGUGGGCCUUUUGGUUCACAGUGUCGCAAUCCGGAUCAUUUACUUUGAAAAAAUUAGAGUGUUCAAAGCAAGCAUUAUUUGCUGUGAAUACAUUAGCAUGGAAUAAUAAGAUAGGACUUUGGUUCUAUUUUGUUGGUUUCUAGGACCGAAGUAAUGAUUGAUAGGGAUAGUUGGGGGUGCUUGUAUUGAGCGGCCAGAGGUGAAAUUCUUGGAUUCGCUCAAGACAAACUUAUGCGAAAGCAUUCACCAAGGAUGUCUUCUUUAAUCAAGAACGAAAGUUGGGGGAUCGAAGACGAUUAGAUACCGUCGUAGUCUCAACCAUAAACGAUGCCAACUAAGGAUCAGUGAACGUUGGCAAAAGACUCCAUUGGCACUUUACGAGAAAUCAAAGUGUUUGGGUUCCGGGGGGAGUAUAGUUGCAAGGCUGAAACUUAAAGGAAUUGACGGAAGGGCACCACCAUGGAGUGGAGCCUGCGGCUUAAUUUGACCCAACACGGGAAAACUUACCAGGUCCAGACACAGUUAGGAUUGUCAGAUUGCAGAUCUUUCUUGAUUCUGUGGGUGGUGGUGCAUGGCCGUUCUUAGUUGGUGGAGUGAUUUGUCUGGUUAAUUCCGUUAACGAACGAGACCUCAGCCUACUAAAUAGUCGAGCUAACUCUUUUG